GCCGCCUUAGCACAGUGGUAGUGCACCGCUUUCGUAAAGCGGGGGUCGUGAGUUCAAAUCUCACAGGCGGCU
rnacentral:tRNA from 1 species